CAAGAGAAGCCACUGGGUUGUGGCCCACAGACAAGCAAACUGAGGCCCAGGGAAGUGCCAGGCCUUGCCCAAGGCCAUACAUCUGUGAGUGGUGCAGCCUCUCUGCCUGUCCGUCAUCACUAGCUCUGCUGAGCCAGGCCCUGGCCAGGGCUCUGACCACCAAGGUGACCACAACUGGAACCCACUCUCACAGAGCCCCUAUCCCAAUGGGGAAGCAACCAGGUACCUGUUAGACAAGGAGCCUGGAGGUAGUUCCUGACCAGCCUGGUGGACAUGGAGGACUUCCCAGGGGAGGAGGAAAAGCAGCAUGACAGCGGCCAUCAUGCUGGGAAGGACCUUAAAUGACUCAGUGUGCCUAAGCUCGGGGAGUGGCAGGAAUUGGGGUCAGGGUUGCUAGAGAGUGAGGCUUCUUGGACCAGGUCAUUACAAUGCCCAUUUUGCCCACAUUUCUCCUGAGCUCCUGCCUGAAUGGGCAUGACCUGCUGGCCAGGGGCACCCUGGGGCAAUGCUCACCAUGUGGACUUGGUCCUUGGAGACCCUCCACUAGUUCUUCCUGAUGCCGGGAGCACCAGUCAGUCAGUGGACCGGACAGUCAGUGACCAAGGAGUGUGGCCCUGGGUUUCUCCCUCCCUCCUUCUCCCCUGGCUGAGGACCGGCUGCCUGACUCUCUAGGGGCCCCAGCUCAGGCCUCAGGAGGGAGCACACUGGAGCAGUGUGGCCUGGAACUGAGAGCAGAGGCCCCAGGUCCCCAGGGAGGGGAUGCUUCCUCCCCUGGGAGAGCGUGGCAUCAUUCGGCACACAGAGAGCUCCCUUCUAACCCCAGACCAAAUUAGCCUUCCAAAUUAUAGGCUGCGUUUCCUCUAAAUUGGAGACUGGGUGGGAGAACAGAGGCCCGGCUCUCCUUCCUGCUUCCUGUUCACAGAGGGCCCUCAGUUGGUCUAGUCCCAGAUCACAGGACCACAUUCAGAAAGAAUUCAGGACACACACACCCUCCUGCCCCUCAGUUCAGGGAUCCCCAGGUCCCAGACCAGCAUCCAGGGCUCAGGGGAAGCCUGUACCCUUCUGGGGUUUGACAACGAACUUAGAGCCAGCAUGGUUCAGAUAAGGCCAACCCAGAGUUCUGAGGUCAUUUUCCGGGGGGAAGUCAUUCAUUCAAAAAACACUUUCUGGGUACAUUCUCUGUGCCAGGUACAGGACAGAAUGAGAAGGUGCACAGGUGGCUGUGGGAAUGCCUGGUGAGGUUAGGGAGGGCUUCCUGGAGGAAGAGGCAUAUAAACUGAGACCCCAAAAAAUGAAUGUGCUCUUGGUGAGGGGAAGAGAGGGGAAGACAAUUAUAGGAGGAAGGAGCAUUGAACGAAAAUCCCAGGAGCAGAGAGUGAGGGAGUGG
rnacentral:lncRNA from 1 species